GGGAAGGUGCCAGAGCGGUCGAAUGGGGUCGCCUGCUAAGCGAUUGAGGGCUUAAAAGGUCCUCCGAGGGUUCGAAUCCCUCCCUUCCCGCCA
rnacentral:tRNA from 1 species